rnacentral:lncRNA from 1 species
UGUGUGUGUGUUAAAGUGCUUCCAUGUAUUAAUAUUGGAUUCACGUAUUUACGCUGCAUUAUGCUAGCAGCGUGGUGUGCACAAGCAUCCUGAAAACUGUGGAUUGGUGAGGGCCAAAACUGCUACACCCAGAAAACGAAGCAAGGACAGAAGGAAAGAAAGUGAGAAUGAAAAGCAUGCUAAGCAAGAAGAUGUCUCUACUGUGAAGAGUGAACAUUGUGCCAGAGAGAUUGCUCCUCAUUUAGAAGGAACAGAGGGAACAGCUUUGAAAGCAGAAGACAGAAGCACCUUGUGAGAUGGCUGUGAUGGACUGACAUCUGAAGGUUAUUGGGAAGCUUCACCUCUUUUAUUCCAUUCACACAACAGAACGAAGAAAAUGAGCUAAAUUUGAAGU